CACGUAGGGGGCAAGCGUUGUCCGGAUUUAUUGGGCGUAAAGAGCUCGUAGGCGGCUCAGUAAGUCGGGUGUGAAACCUCCAGGCUCAACCUGGAGACGCCACCUGAUACUGCUGUGGCUAGAGUCCGGUAGGGGAGCGUGGAAUUCCUGGUGUAGCGGUGAAAUGCGCAGAUAUCGGGAAGAACACCCGUGGCUAAGGCGGCUCUCUAGUACGGUACUGACGCUGAGACGCGAAAGCGUGGGGAGCGAACAGG
rnacentral:rRNA from 1 species